GCUUAACACAUGCAAGUCGAGGGGCAGCACAGGUAGCAAUACCGGGUGGCGACCGGCGCACGGGUGAGUAACGCGUAUGCAACUUGCCUAUCAGAGGGGGAUAACCCGGCGAAAGUCGGACUAAUACCGCAUGAAGCAGGGGCCCCGCAUGGGGAUAUUUGCUAAAGAUUCAUCGCUGAUAGAUAGGCAUGCGUUCCAUUAGGCAGUUGGCGGGGUAACGGCCCACCAAACCGACGAUGGAUAGGGGUUCUGAGAGGAAGGUCCCCCACAUUGGUACUGAGACACGGACCAAACUCCUACGGGAGGCAGCAGUGAGGAAUAUUGGUCAAUGGCCGAGAGGCUGAACCAGCCAAGUUGCGUGAGGGAUGAAGGUUCUAUGGAUCGUAAACCUCUUUUAUAAGGGAAUAAAGUGCGGGACGUGUCCCGUUUUGUAUGUACCUUAUGAAUAAGGAUCGGCUAACUCCGUGCCAGCAGCCGCGGUAAUACGGAGGAUCCGAGCGUUAUCCGGAUUUAUUGGGUUUAAAGGGUGCGUAGGCGGCCUUUUAAGUCAGCGGUGAAAGUCUGUGGCUCAACCAUAGAAUUGCCGUUGAAACUGGGGGGCUUGAGUAUGUUUGAGGCAGGCGGAAUGCGUGGUGUAGCGGUGAAAUGCAUAGAUAUCACGCAGAACCCCGAUUGCGAAGGCAGCCUGCCAAGCCAUUACUGACGCUGAUGCACGAAAGCGUGGGGAUCAAACAGGAUUAGAUACCCUGGUAGUCCACGCAGUAAACGAUGAUCACUAGCUGUUUGCGAUACACUGUAAGCGGCACAGCGAAAGCGUUAAGUGAUCCACCUGGGGAGUACGCCGGCAACGGUGAAACUCAAAGGAAUUGACGGGGGCCCGCACAAGCGGAGGAACAUGUGGUUUAAUUCGAUGAUACGCGAGGAACCUUACCCGGGUUUGAACGCAUUCGGACCGAGGUGGAAACACCUUUUCUAGCAAUAGCCGUUUGCGAGGUGCUGCAUGGUUGUCGUCAGCUCGUGCCGUGAGGUGUCGGCUUAAGUGCCAUAACGAGCGCAACCCUUGCCACUAGUUACUAACAGGUAAAGCUGAGGACUCUGGUGGGACUGCCAGCGUAAGCUGCGAGGAAGGCGGGGAUGACGUCAAAUCAGCACGGCCCUUACAUCCGGGGCGACACACGUGUUACAAUGGCGUGGACAAAGGGAAGCCACCUGGCGACAGGGAGCGAAUCCCCAAACCACGUCUCAGUUCGGAUCGGAGUCUGCAACCCGACUCCGUGAAGCUGGAUUCGCUAGUAAUCGCGCAUCAGCCAUGGCGCGGUGAAUACGUUCCCGGGCCUUGUACACACCGCCCGUCAAGCCAUGGGAGCCGGGGGUACCUGAAGUCCGUAACCGCGAGGAUCGGCCUAGGGUAAAACUGGUGACUGGC
rnacentral:rRNA from 1 species